UGGGGAAUAUUGGACAAUGGGGGCAACCCUGAUCCAGCAAUGCCGCGUGAGUGAUGAAGGCCUUAGGGUUGUAAAGCUCUUUUACCGGGGACGAUGAUGACGGUACCCGGAGAAUAAGCCCCGGCUAACUUCGUGCCAGCAGCCGCGGUAAUACGAAGGGGGCGAGCGUUGUUCGGAGUUACUGGGCGUAAAGGGCGCGUAGGCGGCGCUCCAAGUUAGGCGUGAAAGCCCCGGGCUCAACCUGGGAAUUGCGCUUAAGACUGGAGUGCUCGAGUGCGGAAGAGGUGAGUGGAAUUCCCAGUGUAGAGGUGAAAUUCGUAGAUAUUGGGAAGAACACCAGUGGCGAAGGCGGCUCACUGGUCCGCAACUGACGCUGAGGCGCGAAAGCGUGGGGAGCAAA
rnacentral:rRNA from 1 species